GUGUAUGGUUUUCUUGAGUGAUUUGAAGUCAUCUUCUCAUAUUGUUUAUGAUGCUCG
rnacentral:tRNA from 1 species